UACAUGGGGUGCAAACGUUGUUCGGAAUUAUUGGGCGUAAAGCGCACGUAGGCGGUUUGUUAAGUCGGAUGUGAAAUCCCUCGGCUCAACUGAGGAAGUGCAUCCGAAACUGGCAGGCUUGAGUACUAAAGAGGGUCGCGGAAUUCCCGGUGUAGAGGUGAAAUUCGUAGAUAUCGGGAGGAACACCGGUGGCGAAGGCGGCGACCUGGGUAGAUACUGACGCUGAGGUGCGAAAGCGUGGGGAGCAAACAGG
rnacentral:rRNA from 1 species